AGUGAACGCUGGCGGUAGGCCUAACACAUGCAAGUCGAACGGCAGCACAGUAAGAGCUUGCUCUUACGGGUGGCGAGUGGCGGACGGGUGAGGAAUACAUCGGAAUCUACUUUUUCGUGGGGGAUAACGUAGGGAAACUUACGCUAAUACCGCAUACGACCUACGGGUGAAAGCAGGGGAUCUUCGGACCUUGCGCGAUUGAAUGAGCCGAUGUCGGAUUAGCUAGUUGGCGGGAUAAAGGCCCACCAAGGCGACGAUCCGUAGCUGGUCUGAGAGGAUGAUCAGCCACACUGGAACUGAGACACGGUCCAGACUCCUACGGGAGGCAGCAGUGGGGAAUAUUGGACAAUGGGCGCAAGCCUGAUCCAGCCAUACCGCGUGGGUGAAGAAGGCCUUCGGGUUGUAAAGCCCUUUUGUUGGGAAAGAAAAGCAGCAGGUUAAUACCCCGCUGCUCUGACGGUACCCAAAGAAUAAGCACCGGCUAACUUCGUG
rnacentral:rRNA from 1 species